CCUAUGUCUUGUGAUUGGUGAAUUUAAUACAUUAGCAUUCAGAGUUAUUAUUGAGACAUGGUUUGUAUUUUUGGUCAUAUUUGUUUAUUUUUGUUAUUUAACUUGACUUGGUUUUCUUCUUUGAUUAGUUUUUCCUUUGAGGUGCUACCUUUCUCUUCUGAUUUUCAUUGUUGUUUUUCUUUUCUUCUUCAUGGAAUAGAUUUCCAAGGAUGUUUUGUAGUGCUGGUUUUCUAGCUAUAAAUUCUUUUAACUUUUGUUUAUCAUGGAAGGAUUUUAUUUCAUCUUGAAAUCUAAAGCUUAAUUCUGCUGGAUUCAAGAUUCUUGAUUAGCACCCAUUUUCUUUCAGCUUGAUAGAUGUUGUUCCAUGAUCUUCUAGCUUUUAGGGUCUGUGAUGAAAAAAUCUGCCACUAUCCUAUUUGAUUUUCACCUAUAUAUAAUCUGAUUCCUUUCUCACAUGGCUUUUAAAAUUCUCUCCAUAUCCUGUAUGGUGAGAAUUUUUAUUAUUAUGUGCCUUGGUAUGGAUCUGUUUUGAUUUUGUACAUUCGACAUCCUGUAGCCUCUUAAAUUUGGAUUUCCAAUUUAUUCUUCGUGUUUUGAAAGUUUUCUGAUAUUAUUUCAUUGAAUAGAUUCUUGACUCCUUUGGUUUGGUAUUCUAUGCUUCCCUCUAUCCCAAUAACUCCUAAAUUUGGUCUUGUAUGCUAUCCCAUAUUUCUUGAAUGUUCUGCUCCUGGUUCCUUACCAUUUUCUCUCUGUGGUCUAUGUUCCUUUCAAGAUUAUAUAUUUUAUCUUCAUUGUCUGAUGUGCUAUCUUCCCAGUAGUGUACUCUGUUCAUGAUGCUUUCAUUUGAGCUUUUAGUUUGGUUUACUAUUUCUUUCAUUUCAAGGAUUUUUAUUUGUUUUUUUGUUUUAGAACCUCUAUCUCCCUGUUGAGGUGAUCUUUUGCUUCUUGGAUUUGUUUAUGCAGCUCAUUAUUGAAGUGAUCUUUUACUGCUUGUCUUUGCUCUCUUAUAUCUUCUUGGAGUACACAGGACAUUUUAACCAUGUAUAUCCUGAAAUUUUUCUGUGUCCAUUUUUCUUCUGUAGCUGCCAGUGAUUCUAAUGAUGUGUUGUUUUGAUUUGUUUGGGCACUUUCUUUUCUUGUUUUUUCAUGUUCCUUGUGUGUCUUCCUUUCCAGCUCUGUGGUUCUGGGGUGUUAUUGUUUUUACCCUAUAGAUUUGUGUUGCUCUUGUAUGGUUGCAAGAUCCCUCCUUUGUUGGGAAGGACCAUGUCAACAGAUCCCAAUAUCAACCAUACAUCAUGUAUGAACAAUUUG
rnacentral:lncRNA from 1 species